AAAUAACUUUCUAUUCUGUGAGAGUUUGUUCCACCAAUUUUCUUUAUUCCCAUAGUGAUGUUAGAGGAAUCAGGCAGACCCAUGAAGAAAUAACAUCACGCCGCUUUAUAACCACAGAUUAAAGAAAUGAGCAGAUUCUGAGAAUAUCUCUUGCAGAUGGAAGGAGAUUGACAUUAGUUCUUGCAACCAUAGCGAAUUUAGGCCUGAUUUUCAGGAUCAUCUUUAUCAUUAAGGCUGCUCCUAUGAGAACCUCAUCCAAAAAUAAGCCAGCUCACAAGAAAAAAAAACAAAAGUUAUCUGGUAGGUAUAUAAAAAUCUUCGAUCGUGUUUAAA
rnacentral:lncRNA from 1 species